rnacentral:lncRNA from 1 species
GAUGGGACCUGUCCUGGUACAGAGGGGGAACAAAACAACUUGUAUUUGGAGCAGUGGAGAAAAAUUCAGUUUUUAAAGACAUAAGGAAAGCUUAGUGAGCAAAAAAAUUUCCUUACAGACUGAUUUUUUUUUUUUAAUUUUUAGGUUUUGUGGGUACGUAGCAGGUAUAUAUAUUUAUGGGGUACGUAUUUUGUUAUAAGCAUAUAGUGCAUAAUAACCACAGGGUAAAUGGGGUAUCCAUCACUUCAAGCAUUUAGGGACUGAUAAUUCUAAUUUUUAAAUUUUGAUUGUGAGCUAGCUUUCCUUGUUGUCAUAUAAUUACAAGUCAGUAACAUGUCCAAUAUAUUUUUCUCAUCUUUCCACGUUUCAGGAGACCAGUUUUGAUUUUAAAUGUUCUCAAUCCAGACUAAAGACAACCAAGUAUUCUUCUCAGAAAGUGAUAGGAACUCCUCAUGCCAAAAGUUUUGUGCAAAGAUUCCGAGAGGCUGAGUCCUUCACACAACUUUCUGAAGAAAUCCAGAUGGCAGUUGUAUGGUGCAGGAGCAAAAAACUCAAGGCUCAGGCCAUUUUUCUGGGUAACAAACUUCUUAAAAGCAACCGGCUUAAACAUCUGGAAGCUCAAGGUACUAGUUUGCCAAAGAAACUAGAGUGCAUAAAAACGUCUAUUUGCAACCACCUUCUUCGUGGCUCAGGUAUCAAAACUUCAAAGCAUCAUCUGAGACAGAGAAGAUCACAGAAUAAAUUUUUACGGAGACAAAGGAAACCACAGAGAAAGUUGCAGUCGACUCUUUUAAGGGAAAUUCAGCAGUUCUCUCAAGGGACUCGGAAGAGUGCUACAGAUACCAGUGCUAAGUGGAGACUCUCACACUGUACUGUGCAUAGAACUGAUCUCUACCCUAACAGUAAGCAGCUCUUGAAUAGUGGAGUUUCAAUGCCUGUCAUACAAACUAAGGAGAAAAUGAUUCAUGAAAAUCUUAGAGGCAUCCAUGAAAAUGAAACUGAUUCGUGGACGGUGAUGCAAAUAAAUAAAAACAGUACAUCAGGAACCAUUAAGGAGACAGAUGACAUUGAUGAUAUUUUUGCUUUAAUGGGAGUUUAGAUGUUCGUUCAUAUGUGAGACUUUUAAGUGAUUAACAAGGCUAGUUCAGUGUUCUAAGUAGAACUGCUAAGAUCUGGAAGUACCACCUGGACUCACAGAGGAGCUGCUUUAGUGCAGCAUUGCACAGGAGUUCAUUUCAGUUCAGUCUACAUUUAAAGUAGCAUUGUGUCAUUUCAUCAACAAGUAUUUCUUUUUUGGCUUCAACUACAUGUCAGGUGUUAAUAUGAAAAAUCUGCCACAGCCUACCCUUGAGAAGCAGAUGUAAUUCCUUGAGUGAGGCUAGUAAGUCUCUGAAAAACUGAAUAAUUUUAUGACUUACUAGGCAAUUUAAUAAUCGUUUGCAAAAACCAUUGUGUCUUGAGGUAAAUGAGGAGCGGGGGUGGGAGAUAGCAAGGAAACACCUGAAAGGUCAAUUUGGUCUUAUUGGCUCCAUUAUACAUAGGUCCGCCUCUGAAUACUAAAGUUUGUAGCUCCUGACAUUUAUGUUUUCUUGUUUAUAUGUUGGAAUUGAUCAACAAGGUUUGCCACUGCUUGUAUUACCAGGGACUGGUUACAACCAUUAUUUCUCUUCA